rnacentral:misc_RNA from 1 species
ACACCCUCAAGCUCUGCUUGGUGUUGGGCGUCUGUCCCGUCGCUUGCCGGCGUGAGGACUCGCCUCAAAGGUAUUGGCAGCGGCCUUUGCCAGCUUCUCGCGCAGCGAAGAUUGCGUCGACUGGAGCGUGGCGUCGGGCUCGCGUCCACAAAGUCUCACCACG